CGCAAGGAUAACCAGUUUCAGGGGAGCCAAACGGCGUCGCGGUAACAGACGCAUGCUUCAGAUGCAGCUUACGCAGCCUCAAGGUGUCAUAACAGUAACAGGUUUGCUUAACAACAGGCCUGCCCUCCCCAGGAUCCACGUGACCGCACAAUGGGCGGGUUCAUGCUCACUCCCACGUCAGUGAACAACCCCACACUCGCCCAUCCAGGACCUCCCCGGCUGAACUGUAACCUGAAAGGGUGACUACUUCUACUUCACCCCACUGAGGCCUAAAGCAGCACCUCUUUCAUGGAUUGAUGAAACAGGAUCUAAAGUGCUGCAAUGGUGGCUGUCUAAAGUGAAUACACUCACUCAUGGCCAUCUUUUAUUUACUCACAUCAUUCAAAGGGGCUACCGACUGACUUUGAGUAGCAAAUUACAAUCGUCUUCCCUUCAUUUAAAAAAAACAAACAUAAAAUUGAAGUUAACCUAAAAGGACGAACACAAAAUGGCAGAAUAAGUAGGGAUCAAAUAUUUGAUCCAUCUGUCCAUUUUCUAUAUCGCAUUAGAGUCACAGGACAUAUUUGAUUUGACAAAAAAUUUUAAUGACCAGAGAAAGGCCAACCGAUAAAGGCUGCGUCUUCUAUCUACUAAUGAGUAUUGAUGCUAGCAGUUGUUAUACUAACAAAUAGCAAGUUAGAAACUUAAGUAUUGUGCUAAAGCAGAUUUAAAGGGUUUUAAACAUUGCAAUUCAGUGUACAGUAUUUAGAUUUGACCUAUACAGUAUUUUCUACACUGUAUUUCUAUUGAGAAUUGCUAACAUGCUAGCCGUUGGAAUCCUAACACCGUGAUUCUCAACUGUCAUUCCGGACCAAAAAAGGCUGGCUUGUGAACAGCUAGGGAAAAAAAAUGACAUGCAUUUUCAUUCAGAUUUUUUCAUAACAAAUGUUCCCACAUAGUGCAUAUAAUAUUUGGUGUAUGUCAAAAAAUGUUAUUCGUAGUCACAAACAAAUGUAGCGUAGCUCAGCCUUAGGGUAGCACACAAUGUAGCUAGCAAUAUGCUUUUGGCUACAUGUCACACUCAUUUGAGUCGUCAUCGCUCACUUCCACAUAAAUGAUGAGAGCGCGCCGCCUACUGGCUGAAAUCUGGGUAUCCACUCACAGGUAUGAGUCAGCGCAAAAACAUGGGUGCGAGAUUUAAACGAAGUUCACUAAGUUUUUAUUGAAACUGUAAAAGAAAAAAAAGUCCCAAUGUUAUGUAAUAACUAGAGAAAUGUUUGUUAUUGGAGUUUUUUGUUUGUUAAGUAUUAUGUUCGUGCUAUUGAACAAAGCACCUUUUGGUACACAGAAAUGGAGGAGUAAAAUAAACACUAAAUUAAUUCAGAUGAAUACGUUAAAAAAUGACUUACUGAAUUCUUGGUGAAAU